rnacentral:rRNA from 1 species
GUUCGGAUCGCAGUCUGCAACUCGACUGCGUGAAGGUGGAGUCGCUAGUAAUCGCGGAUCAGCAACGCCGCGGUGAAUGCGUUCCCGGGCCUUGUACACACCGCCCGUCAAGUCAUGAAAGUGGGCAGCACCCGAAGACGGUGGCCUAACCCUUGUGGGGGGAGCCGUCUAAGGUGAGGCUCGUGAUUGGGACUAAGUCGUAACAAGGUAGC